UACAGAGGUGCCGAGCGUUAGGCGGAAUCACUGGGCUUAAAGCGCGUGUAGGCGGGUCGUUAAGUGUCCGCGUGAAAGCCCCCGGCUCAACCGGGGAGGGUCGUCGGGGACCGCACCGCUUGAGGGCGGUAGGGGCUGGUGGAAUGCCUGGUGUAGUGGUGAAAUGCGUAGAGAUCAGGCGGAACACCCGUAGCGAAGGCGGCCAGCUGGGCCGUCCCUGACACUGAGGCGCGAAGGCGUGGGGAGCGAACGGG
rnacentral:rRNA from 1 species